rnacentral:rRNA from 1 species
UGGGGAAUAUUGCACAAUGGGCGAAAGCCUGAUGCAGCCAUGCCGCGUGUGUGAAGAAGGCUCUAGGGUUGUAAAGCACUUUCAGUAGGGAGGAAAGGUUGAUGGUUAAUACCCAUCAGCUGUGACGUUACCUACAGAAGAAGCACCGGCUAACUCCGUGCCAGCAGCCGCGGUAAUACGGAGGGUGCAAGCGUUAAUCGGAAUUACUGGGCGUAAAGCGUGCGUAGGCGGCUACCUAAGUUGGAUGUGAAAGCCCCGGGCUCAACCUGGGAACUGCAUCCAAAACUGGGUGGCUAGAGUGCGAGAGAGGAGUGUGGAAUUUCCUGUGUAGCGGUGAAAUGCGUAGAUAUAGGAAGGAAACACCAGUGGCGAAGGCGACACUCUGGCUUGACACUGACGCUGAGGUACGAAAGCGUGGGAGCAAACAGGAUUAGAUACCCUGGUAGUCCACGCCGUAAAACGAUGUCUACUAGUUGUCGGUUGUCUUGUACGACUGGUAACG